GCGUUUAAAAUGGGCUCAGUCUUCGAAACCUAAAGGAUGUGAUGUUUUCCUGUCUUAUGUUGUUUUAAGAAAAAGGAACUGAGUUCCUAGUAUAGCUCCCGAGGGGAGUGGAAUCCUCUGUCGCUCAGAAGCUACAAUAUGGACAUUUGAAAGUCAAAGGUUACUGUAAACUGAAAGCAUCAUGAUCCCAAGUUUUAAAGAUCCAGUACUACCGGG
rnacentral:lncRNA from 1 species